rnacentral:rRNA from 1 species
GACGAACGCUGGCGGCGUGCUUAACACAUACAAGUCGAACGGAAAGGCCCUGCUUGCAGGGUGCUCGAGUGGCGAACGGGUGAGUAACACGUGGGUGAUCUGCCCCUUACUUUGGGAUAAGCCUGGGAAACUGGGUCUAAUACUGGAUAGGACCAUGCUGUAGGUGGUGUGGUGGAAAGAUUAGUUUCGGUAAGGGAUGAGCUCGCGGCCUAUCAGCUUGUUGGUGGGGUAAUGGCCUACCAAGGCGUCGACGGGUAGCCGGCCUGAGAGGGUGGACGGCCACAUUGGGACUGAGAUACGGCCCAGACUCCUACGGGAGGCAGCAGUGGGGAAUAUUGCACAAUGGGCGCAAGCCUGAUGCAGCGACGCCGCGUGGGGGAUGACGGCCUUCGGGUUGUAAACUCCUUUCAGCCAUGACGAAGCCCUUGUGGUGACGGUAGUGGUAGAAGAAGCACCGGCUAACUACGUG